rnacentral:rRNA from 1 species
GUCGAGAAUAAUUCACAAUGGACGAAAGUCUGAUGGUGCAACGCCGCGUGGAGGAUGACGGUCUUCGGAUUGUAAACUCCUGUCAUCCGGGAGUAAGACCUGGCUGUGAAUAGCAGACAGGGUUGAUAGUACCGGAAGAGGAAGGGACGGCUAACUUCGUGCCAGCAGCCGCGGUAAUACGAAGGUCCCGAGCGUUGUUCGGAAUCACUGGGCGUAAAGGGAGCGUAGGCGGCGUGGUAAGUCAGAUGUGAAAUCCCGGGGCUCAACCCCGGAACUGCAUCCGAUACUGCCGUGCUAGAGGAGUGGAGAGGUAGCUGGAAUUCUUGGUGUAGCAGUGAAAUGCGUGGAGAUCAAGAGGAACACUCGUGGCGAAAGCGAGCUACUGGACAAUAUCUGACGCUGAGGCUCGAAGGCCAGGGUAGCGAAAGGGAUUAGAUACCCUGGUAGUCC